rnacentral:rRNA from 1 species
UACGUAGUUUGAUCAUGGCUACAGAACGAACGCUGGCGGUAUGCUUAACACAUGCAAGUCGAACGGGGUAGCAAUACCUAGUGGCAAACGGGCGAGUAAUACAGAGGAAUCUACCUAGCAGUAAGGAAUAACUCUGGGAAACCAGAGCUAAUACCAUAUAUUACCCUUCGGGGGAAAGAUUUAUCGCUGUUAGAUGAGCCUCUGCCGGAUUAGCUAGUUGGUAAGGUAAUGGCUUACCAAGGCGAUGAUCCGUAGCUGGUCUGAGAGGAUGAUCAGCCACACUGGGACUGAGACACGGCCCAGACUCCUACGGGAGGGCAGCAGUGGGGAAGUAUUGGACAAUGGGCGCAAGCCUGAUCCAGCAAUACCGCGUGAGUGAUGACGGUCUUCGGAUUGUAAAACUACUUUUAGUUAGGGAAGAUAAUGACGGUACCUACAGAAAAAGACACCGGCAAACUUCGUG